CUGUCUCCCCCCUCUAAAUCAAGUGAAACUGAUCUCCCCGUGAAGAAGCGGGGAUAAAUUUAUAAGACGAGAAGACCCCAUGGAGCUUUAAGCUUAACGGCACCUAUUAAUUUCAUACCCUCAUAUUCUCCUAGUAAUGCUUGUUCAGCUUUGGGUUGGGGUGACCAUGGAGCAAAAAAUAGCCUCCACGAAGAAAGGAACAAAACCCUUAUCAAAGAGUUACAUCUCUAUGAAUUAGAACACUAACUUUUAAUGAUCCGAUAAUCGAUCAACGAACCAAGUUACCCUGGGGAUAACAGCGCAAUCCAUCUCAAGAGCUCCUAUCGACAGGUGGG
rnacentral:rRNA from 1 species